rnacentral:tRNA from 1 species
GGGGAUUUAGCUCAGUGGUAGAGCACUUGCCUAGCAAGCACAAAGCCCUGGGUUCAGUCCCCAGCUCCG